ACGUGACAGAAAUUAUGCUUACCGCUCAACUACAGCUUUGGGUCAUUUGUUAAAGGAAGCUGAUCCUACUAUAUGAUCUUAUCCUUCGUUCUGUUUGUGCUUUUGUGUCCAUGAGUAUUAAAAAUAAUGUAUUAUCAUAUAACGAAUUAAUAUAAGAAAGUAAAGCAAAUGAGUGAAUUUAAAAAUAAUAAAAAAAAGAUUAAAUGAUAAUUGCUUAAAAAUGUUUACUUUACGGACCAAAUAAGUAAACAUAAUGAUUAUAAAUAUAAUUGAACUAAUGUGAACAGAUAAGAUAUAAUAAAUGUUUAGAAUAAUAACUAAUAAAAAAGAAUAACAUCAUCGAAACACUGAUAUUACUAAUUGUUUUGUUUUGUGCAUGAAACAUAACAAUGUGAUGAUCAAAGAGAAAGGGCAUUCCGAUAUUUUUGGAAAAAGGCAAGCAAAGGUUCAAAAAGAAUUAGAAGAUGCUGCACGUGACACACGACCAGUUAGUCCCGAUAGAUCGAGUUUAAAAGAAGGAAUCGCUGGUCUUCCUACUGCGGUACCAACGAAAGUAUCCGUCACGUUUACUGCACACGACGGAGAAGUUUAUGCCGUAAAAUGGUCUCCCGUCGAGAGGAUGCUUGCCACCGGUGGUGCUGACAGGAAGGUGAAGCUUUGGAAUAUCUCAAAAGGUGCUUCAGAGAGCAAAGGUAUUCUCGUUGGUAGCAAUGCUGGAGUGAUGUGCGUCGAUUUCGAUUCUACAGGAACAUUGAUUCUUGGAGCAUCGAAUGACUAUGCCAGCCGAGUAUGGACUGUCAGUGACUUCCGAUUAAAGGUAAGUGAUGCAUUUAUUCUACGAGAAUCAAGACGUGCAGCCUUGAAAACACGUAAGAAUUUAUGUACCUAUUUGUUGCAACAGCGCCACACUCUAACGGGCCACUGCGGGAAGGUGAUGGCUGCGAAGUUUCUUGGCGAGCCUUCAAAAGUAGUUACUGGCAGUUACGAUCGUACCCUAAAAAUUUGGGACCUGCGUAGCAAAGCGUGUAUAGAAACAAAGUUUGCGGGUUCGAGUUGCAACGAUCUUGUAACUUCGGACGGUGCGGGCUCUACGAUAAUUAGCGGCCAUUUUGAUCAUAGGAUUAGAUUUUGGGAUACAAGAGCCGAAUCCAGCUCAAAUGACAUUUUAUUGGAAGGAAAGGUCACUUCGCUGGAUUUAUCUCGUGAUGCAAAUUACCUUUUGAGCUGUGUCAGAGAUGAUACGUUGAAACUCAUCGAUCUGCGGAUGAAGAAGAUCAUUGGAUCAUUUAGCGCCGAUGGCUUUAAAGUCGGUUUUGACUGGACACGAGCUAUUUUUAGCCCAGAUGGUCAGUACAUAGCGGUUGGUUCUUCAGACGGGUCCGUUUUCAUUUGGUCUGUCGCCACCAACAUGAUUGAGACUGUGUUGAAAAACCAUUCGUGUGCGAGGACUUAAGAAUGUGUCCAUCGAUAUUCCAUUGGCCGUAGCAGAUGGCACCACCGUCAAUAUGAGUUGCGGAUACGAUCUAGAAUCAGAUACUUUGUACACAGUGAAAUGGUACUACAAACGUUUUGAAUUUUUUCGAUACAUUCCUAAAGAAAUGCCACCUACAAGUGCUUUUGGAGAAUUGGGUAACAAAGUUCUCUUAAAUCAAAGUGAUGCUCAUCGCGUAGUUUUAAGGGACUUGCAACCAAGCCAUACUGGAAAAUAUCGCUGUGAAGUUUCUGGCGAUUCUCCAUCGUUUACUACUAUAACGGUUGCCGCUUAUUUAUAUGUUGCUAAUCUACCAAAAGGGGAUCCUCAAAUUAGAGCCGAAAAGAUACGCUACGCGGUAGGAGAUACGGUGCGUGCAAAUUGCACCGUUCCUUCGGGAAAUCCUCCGGCGAAUGUGACAUGGACUGUGAAUGGAGUACAGGUAAAUUCCAGCUUCAUGAUGAACAUUACGGACAAGUUUGGUGACAAUCAGCAAUUGAUGACUAUCGCAGGAUUGGACUUCGAGACUAUACAAGAUAGCUUUAACAACGGAAGAUUACAUAUUGUUUGCAAUGCUAACGUCUUUCAUUUGUA
rnacentral:misc_RNA from 1 species